CACAAUGUACUAAUGCGUUAGGAAUAGCCACCAUUCAUUUAUUCGUGCUUUUUACAGAUCAGCGAAUUGAAGAAAACAGCAUUAUAUGAUAAAAUAAAAAAUAAAAAAAAAAUCCCACUGACUCCAACUGCUUUCACUUUUUCCCAUUUACUUCCCGCCCACAGCUUGCGUCUCAAUGCGUGGGUUGUUUUGUUGACUCAGUUGCCAUGGGAACCUUUAAAGCUCCGCGACAAACUUUAUUCAAAUGAGCAUCUGUACAGGCCACGCCCCCUCGGCAUGUGCUGUCAAUCACGCCCACAGCCUGCUGAUCCAAUCAGAGCCACAUGAUCGCUGGAGACACAAGAAACAAUCUGACAAUUUCCCAAAUCAACCCGUCUGAGUCCAAACCUGAGAGGAGGAAUUGAAGGAACAGCUGCCAAAUAGACAAGCGCAACACUCGAAGAUAAUCUGCCACAUUGAAAAUGCUCAGCACACUAAGAGAAUUAAUUAUACAUCAAAUAAUGAAUGGAAUUAAGCUCGAAUAACAUUGCUGCUGGCAGUGUUAGCCGCUGAAGUUUGCGCGCAGAACCCCCCUCUAGGCUCGGUGAGGACAGAAUGUCAAGGGAGUGUUAUGAUGAUGAUGUUGGAGA